CUAACUGUUUAGAAACAUCUAGUUAUGAUAGACUCAUACCUAACUGCUUAGAAUUACCUAUCAUUACAAGCUCAACUAUAUCAUAAAGUAUCUCCCAACUCACUCUGCUUUGCUGAGCCUUUAA
rfam:Populus trichocarpa isolate Nisqually-1 chromosome 5, whole genome shotgun sequence.